rnacentral:rRNA from 1 species
UACAGAGGGUGCGAGCGUUAAUCGGAUUUACUGGGCGUAAAGGGUGCGUAGGCGGUGAAAUGUGUGUGAUGUGAAAACCCCGGGCUUAACCUGGGAAGUGCAUCGCAAACUAUUUGACUGGAGUAUAUGAGAGGGUGGCGGAAUUUCCGGUGUAGCGGUGAAAUGCGUAGAGAUCGGAAGGAACGUCAAUGGCGAAGGCAGCCACCUGGCAUAAUACUGACGCUGAGGCACGAAAGCGUGGGGAGCGAACAGG